GGGGAGGUGGAGCAAGGGCGACGGUGAAGUCAUUGUCAUCCCCAAGUCCUGCCAUACCAAGAGGGAGGCUGCCAGCCCUAGGGGGCCACCUCAUGGCCCCGGGCAGAGAUGUGAUAUGUAUAAAAGGUGGGCCAGCUGAGAGCGUCCCAAACAGCUCUGCGUCUCUACUACACUCCAGUCUCUGGUGAACUCUGUUGGAAAUCCAGAAUGUCUCAGCAGAAGCAGAAGCAGUGUGCUCCCCCACAGCAGUGUGCACCCCCACAGCAGUGCGCACCCCCACAGCAGUGCUGCCCCCCACCCCAGCAGUGCGCCCCCCCACAGCAGUGCUGCCCCCCACCCCAGCAGUGCGCUCCCCCGCAGCAAUGCUGCCCCCAACCCCAGCAGACCAAGCAGCCUUGCCAGCCUCCUCCCAAGUGCCAACAGAAGUGUCCGCCACCCCAGCAGUGCCAGAAGUCCAAGCAGAAGUGAGCUCUCAGCUUGCAGCCAGAGGAGAAUUCCCAGGACAGAAGGUGACAUCUUUUCCUUCUUGGCUUCUUGGUCAGCAUCUGGUAUUCCUUCCCGCAUCAGCCAUUCCUGGGCUCGCCGCCGCUGCUUCUGGAUGCAGUCAUAUUUCACACUUGGAAAGAAGCUUCUAGGCUGCGGCUUCCUCGAUCUCAGCCCUUUCUUAAUUAGCAGUUGCAGUUUGCAUCUCUGACAAAGAUCUGCUUCUAAACUGUCUAAUCAUCUUCGCUGACAUGUAUCUACAUCACCCUGCUGGAAAUCCAGGCGGCACACCCAGACGCCCUUUCCCAUCACCCUUCCCAAACAAUUAAAAGAGAAUUCCUCUGGCA